rnacentral:rRNA from 1 species
GAUGAACGCUAGCGACAGGCUUAACACAUGCAAGUCGAGGGGCAGCAUAAAAGUAGCAAUACUUUGGUGGCGACCGGCGCACGGGUGAGUAACGCGUAUGCAACCUACCUAUCAGAGGGGAAUAACCCGGCGAAAGUCGGACUAAUACCGCAUAAAACAGGGGCACCGCAUGGUGAUAUUUGCUAAAGAAAUUCGCUGAUAGAUGGGCAUGCGUUCCAUUAGGUAGUUGGUGAGGUAACGGCUCACCAGGCCGACGAUGGAUAGGGGAACUGAGAGGUUGGUCCCCCAAACUGGUACUGAGACACGGACCAGACUCCUACGGGAGGCAGCAGUGAGGAAUAUUGGUCAAUGGGCGGGAGCCUGAACCAGCCAAGUCGCGUGAAGGAAGGAGGAUCUAUGGUUCGUAAACUUCUUUUGCAGGGGAAUAAAGUGCAGGACGUGUCCUGUUUUGUAUGUACCCUGAGAAUAAGGAUCGGCUAACUCCGUGCCAGCCGCCGCAGUAACAC